CUGACAGUUUGUGCAGAAAGUCUUUGGUUAUGCAAACCGAUUGUUGCAGCAGCUGUCCAGGUGGCUGGUCUCUGAUGAUCUUGGAGGUAAAGAUUCUGAAUGUGGAUGCCCUGGGCUGGUGUGUUUACACGUGGUCUGCGGUUGUGAGGCGUUGGAUGUACUGGCAAAUUUUCUGAAACGCCUUUGGAGACGGCUUAUGGUAGAGAAAUGAACAUUCAAUUCACGGACAACAGUUCUGGUGGAAAUUCCUGCAUUUAGCAUGCCAAUUUCACACUCUCUCAAAACUUGCGACUUCUGUGGCAUUGUGCUAUGUGAUAAAGCUGCACAUUUUAUAGUGGCCUUUUAUUGUAGCCAGCCUAAGGCACACUUGUGCAAUUGUCAUGCUGUCUAAUCAGUAUCCUGAUAUGCCACACCAGUGAGGUGGAUGGAUUAUCUCGGCAGAGGAGAAGUGCUCACUAACC